CUCUACUCAAGAACACCUUCAACUCAAGCUCUCAACCCACCCCCGCUCCUUCAUUUGGAUAUUGGUAUCACUUGAGAGUGAAACCAGUGUAGGCUGCUCUCCAUGAGAAUGAACUCCUCUGGUUGCUACAUACCAUCACCAAGUGUUCUCCAUUGAGCUGCUCAGAGACAAGACCUGGCGACAGUGACGUGUCUAAUCAGACUAGGGGCUGACCCUCUUCUCAAGAACACCUUCAACUCAAGCCACUGACAUGCUCGCUUUCAAACACUUUCCUCCAAAGAACUUCACCCCAAAACUGGAAGAAAGAGCCACUGUUUGACCUGGCGUCGUACAUCAAUAGUCCGAGUCUGAGUGACGUGGAACUGGUAUCAGAGGACGGGUCCUGAUUCCAUGCACACAGACUGGUUCUCUGUGCCCAUAGCCCCGUGUUCAAGUCCAUGCUAGACUCUGAACUAUGGGUGGAAUCUAGAAACAGGAGUGUUCUCCAUGCAUUGAUUGAGCUACUCAGAGACAAGAUCUGGCGACAGUAGCUGGGGGAUCAUAGUGCAUGACUCAGUCAUGUGACAUGUAAAAGAAUGAUUUACUGCAGCUUCACUCACCAGAGGUAGAACACUAGAAUGAUUGUAAACAGGGGAAAAAGGUGUCUCCAAAACUAGGAGACAAACCUGAGUCCAGUGAGGUGACGUGAUGUGGUGUCUCUCGAUCUCUUGUGAUGGUCCCUCCCUCCAGAGCACCUCACACCAAUAGGAUAGAGCCAAGAAGUGUAGGUUUACUUGCAGUGUACGCAAUGGUUGUCAGCAUCAUUUCCUAGUACAACUACUCAUGUGUCCUCCAUUGAGCUGCUCAGAGACAAUACCUGGCGACAGUGGCGUGUCUAAUCAGACUAGGGGCUGACCCUCUACUCAAGAACACCUUCAACUCGAGCACCCACUGACAUGCUCGCUCUCAAACAUUUUCCUCCAAAGAACUUCACCCCCAAAACAGGAGGAGAAAGGAAAUUGAAGGCUGUGUGAAACCAAGGAACAAUGUGUUUGCUGGUGCUGAAGCUGCUCUCGUUGGGCCAUAUCUGAUGCCCAAGCGCAGGACUGGACCUUACGUUUUAUCAACACCGUAAGAAUUACUUCCUCUGGUUAAUUGCUACAGACCAUCACCAAGGGCAAUUACGAGUGUCUGACUCAUCUGGUCCAGUCUUGUGCUGUCCUCGGCAACUGUAGGAGUACAGAGAAUGGAACCACAUCAUAUCUCAAGACAAGACCUGGCUACAGUGGCAUGUCUAAUCAGACUAGGGGCUGACCCUCUACUCAUGCAAGAACACCUUCAACUCGAGCACCACUGACAUGCUCGCUCUCAAACACUUUCCUCCAAAGAACUUCACCCCAAAACUGGAGGAGAUUGGCUGCUCAGGCUCCAUAAAAAUGACUUCCUCUGUUUGCUACAGACCAUCACCAAGGGCAAUCACGAGUGUCUGGCUCAUCUGGUCCAGUCUUGUGCCUCUCCCCGUCAACUGUAGGAGCACAGAGAAUGGAACCACGAAAUUGAAGGCUGUGUGAAACCAAGGAACAGUGUGUUUGCUGGUGUUGAAGCUGCUCUCGUUUGGCCAUAUCUGAUGCCCAUGCGCAGGACUGGACCUUACGUUUUAUCAACACCGUAAUAAUGACUUCCUUUGGUUGCUAACAUACCAUCACCAAGGGCAAUCACGAGUGUCUGACUCAUCUGGUCCAGUCUUGUGCUGUCCCAUCAACUGUAGAGAAUGGAACCACGGCAAUCACGAGUGUCUGACUCAUCUGGUCCAGUCUUGUGCUGUCCAUGUCAACUGUAGGAGCACACAGAGAAUGGAACCACAUUCUCCCGGCACACCCUGGUAUUCAGUCCUGGCCAACCUGACCUGUAACUACCCCCUCAGUUACUAUGGCAACAUUGAGGAUCCAGAGCACGAGGCCGAGCCUGCUUCAUACCUAUAUAAAUGUAUAUAGCCAGGAGUGCAUGAAUAGCUAUAAUUACUAUGUUUUCUCAUAAAUAAUUUUGAAUCUGUGGUUGCUUAUCAAGAGUAGUUGAAUAUUUUUGCUUUGUAAUAAUAAAUCUACUUCUUCAC